UACGUAGGGUGCAAGCGUUGUCCGGAAUUAUUGGGCGUAAAGAGCUCGUAGGCGGUUUGUCGCGUCGAAUGUGAAAACCCGGGGCUCAACCCCGGGCCUGCAUUCGAUACGGGCAGACUAGAGUUCGGUAGGGGAGUCUGGAAUUCCUGGUGUAGCGGUGAAAUGCGCAGAUAUCAGGAGGAACACCGGUGGCGAAGGCGGCUCACUGGCCCGAUACUGACGCUGAGGCACGAAAGCGUGGGGAGCAAACAGG
rnacentral:rRNA from 1 species